rnacentral:rRNA from 1 species
AGAGUUUGAUUCUGGCUCAGAACGAACGCUGGUGGCGUGUCUUAUACAUGCAAGUCGAGCGAGGCAGCAAUGCCGAGCGGCGAACGGGUGAGUAACGCGUAAGCAAUCUGCCCCAUAUCAGGAAAUACCCGUGCCAACGCGCGGUUAAUGUCCAGGAGAGUGGCCUUCCGCAUGGAGGGUUGACUAGAGAUUUAUCGGUAUGGGAUGAGCUUGCGUCCGAUUAGCUAGUUGGCGGGGCAACGGCCCACCAAGGCGACGAUCGGUAGCCGGCCUGAGAGGUGAUCGGCCACAUUGGGACUGAGAUACGGCCCAGACUCCUACGGGAGGCAGCAGUAGGGAAUAUUGCACAAUGGGGGAAACCCUGAUGCAGCAACGCCACGUGUGGGAAGAAGCAUUUCGGUGUGUAAACCACUGUCAUGAGGGAAUAAGGCCCGCCUUCGGACGGGAUUGAAUGUACCUUGAGAGGAAGCACCGGCAAACUUCGUGCCAGCAGCCGC